GUACUAACAGGAGCCUGCCUUCCCCAUUCCUCCGCAGCUCCCGCUGCCUGGGCACAAAGGGAAAUGCCCUGGAGAGUGAGUGACUGUUAGAGCAGCCAGAGGGGAGCAAUGGGAAGAGCUGCUUGCUGAGAAAAGGUGGUCUUGGCAGGACUGCAGACAGAGGACUCUCCCUAGCCCCCGGCAGGUGCCGGUCUAAACCAAGCUGGGAGGAUGGAGGCCGGCCCUGGCCCAGCCCCAGGCAAGGGAGGAGCCUCGGCUCAGAUGGGGCAGGUGGGGAGCCUGGGCUCAGGUGUGUCCUGUGCGAAGUGAUUGCUCCCUGGCUGGCAGAGACAGAGGAAAGCGGAUUGUUGGCCCCAGGACCCAGCUCUGGGAGGCUGGGCUUAUCUCCCCGACUCUGACUUGGAGGAAAGCAAUGGAAGGGGAAGGGGUAAGAAGCUUCAAGGAACUUCGAGCCAAAUUUCAAAAUCUUGAUGCUCCACCUCUUCCAGGACCUAUUAAACUCCCAGCAGGAGUUUCUCCAAACAGUGACAUUGGAGGCAAACAGUCAACUCAAAUUUUGGCCAAUGGGAAACCCCUCUCAUCCAACCACAAGCAGCACCCACCACACUGUUCCAGUAGUGAGUCCCGGCCUCUUCAACCUCAGAAAAUAAAGUUGGCUCAAAAGACUGAAAUUCCAAAAUGUUCUAGCUCCCCAGGGCCUCUGGGAAAGUCCACUGUAUGUUCUGCAGCAAGUUCACAGAACACUUCUCUGCUGUUAGAGGUGACUCAGUCAAAUGUUGAGAUAAUCACUAAGGAGAAAGUAAUGGUGGCCAACAGCUUCAGAAACAAACUCUGGAACUGGGAGAAGGUUUCAUCUCAGAAAAGUGAAAUGUCAUCAGUCCUUCUCCUUGCCAACUGUGGAAGUAAGGCCUUCCAUCUGGAAGGGCAAAAAGGCAUGGGGCUUACUCCAGAGGAACCCAGGAAAAAGCUGGAAACAAAAGGAGCCCAGACUCUUCCUUCCCAGAAGCACUUGGUGGCCCCCAAAAUAUUACUUAAUGUCUCUGAAGAUCCCUCUUUUGUAAUUUCUCAUCAUAUCAGGAAGAGCUGGGAAAACCCACGUCCUGAGAAGAGCCCAGCAAGCAGCACCUACCAGCCCAUCUAUGAGUGUGAGCUUGCCAGCCAGGCCCCAGAGAAACAGUCAGAUGUCAGACAUCGCCACCUUCCCAAAAUGAAGCCACUGCCCUCCAUCAACUCCCUGGGUCCUCCUCCCCAAAAGCCUUCAAGACCUACCGUCGUGAACCUCCAGGCCUUUCAGAGGCAGCGAGCUGCUGUUCCCAGGACUCAAGGGGAAGUGACUGUGGAAGAGGGCUCCCUGCCUCCAGAGAGGCUUUUCAAUGCAGAAUUUGAAGAACCACAUAAUUAUGAGGCAACAAUUUCAUAUCUGAGACACUCUGGCAACUCCAUUAACCUGUGCACUGCAAAAGAAAUUGCUGAUCCAACAUAUGAAGUUGGAAUUGAAGAACUCCAAAAGUCUUGGAAGAAUUUUCCCUAUCCAGAACCUAGUGCUAAACAUGAAGAUAAAAAAAUGAAGGAAAAAGACCCAUGUGAAUUGGAACCUAAGAACACAGAAAAGGAACCACAUUCAAACCAUGUUUUCAAGAUACUCCUUUAUCUGCUCUAUCAAUCUCCUACUGACGUUUGGAAAAUACAGUUUAAUAAAAUCUGCUUUUCGAGGUCUUCUCUAACCCCUCUCCCAGCCAAGAGAACCAGCCUCCUCAUCCUCUCUGUUUCCAUAAUGGUAGAUGCCUAUGAAGGGACACCUGAAAAAAUUCAGAUGACCAACGUCCACACAGGUAGAAGGAACAUGUUGGCUGGAAAGCAAGAGGCCAUGAUUGACGUCAUCCAGACAAAUCCCUGCCCUGAGGGCCCGAAGCUGGCCAGGCACUCCCAAGGCCACUGGGGAGUUUCUGGUUUCCUUUCAGGUGGGUAUCUGGAGGUUUUGGAGUCGACUAAAGAAACUCCAGACCUAGGGGUCUCUAAGCCAAGUUCCAUCUCGGAGGAGAUAUAUGAUGAUGUCGAGUACUCCAGGAAAGAGGUACCGAAGCCAAACUUCCGUAGCUCAUUUGCCUCAAAUAGUGAAGAAAACAGAGAAGAAAUGUAUGAAGAUGUCUACAAAACAAAGAACAACUACCCAAAGAUAGAUUUAGAUGGAAAAGAAGCACUCAAAAGACUGCAGCAAUUCUUCAAGAAAGAAAAGGAUAGAUUUAAAAUAAAGAAAACCAAGUCAAAAGAAAACUUAAGUGCGUUUUCCAUUUUGCUGCCUGAUUUAGAACUUAAGUCUCAGGAAGUUAUUAUCUAUGAUGAUGUGGACCUGAGUGAAAAAGAGUCAAAAGAUGAAGAUAAACUGAAAAUGUGGAAACCCAAGUUUCUGACACCGAAGGAAAAAAAAGAGAAAAACGGAGCUGAAGAAUCAGAAAGUUUCUCUCCUAGAAGUUUCUUCAAAACCAAGAAGCAAAACUUAGAAAAGAACAGAAUGAAAAGAGAAGAAAAACUAUUUAGAGAAAGGUUUAAGGUACGUUCUCUUCUCAAGGUAAAAAUUAGCAAUAUUAACAGCUUGGAGCUUUCAUUUAAAAAAAAAUCUGUAAGUAUGCUGUGCCUUUGCCUCUCUGAGAUACAGACAUUAUCUUUGACACAAAAAGCCAGCAUUUCAUUCCUAUUUUUUCCUGAUACAUUUCUAUAUUUUUAUGUCUGUACAUGCUAUUCCUUCUUCCUGGAAAAACUACUAAGUUGUUCUUGAAGGCUCUGUUCAAAUGUCACCCACUCCUCCCUAUCUCGUCCAGGUUGUUACUCCUUCAGCACAUUUUGUAUAUCUAUUUUACACAUGUCUUUUAUAACACUGAUUUGUUGUAUUAAAGCAUUUGUGUGUGUGUGUGUGUGUGUGUGUGAAUCUUAAACUAAUUAAUCUCUUGAGUGCUUUUUGAGAAAGAAACCCUGUCUCAUUCAGGUUUGUUCCCCAGGGCCUGACAUAAAACUGUACAGACAGUGUUUGGUAAAUGAAUGCCUAAAUAAACAGGCAAAUGAAUAACAACAUGAACAAAUGAAUGACACAGCAUCCGAAGCUCUCUGCCUUCUUAUUCUGUUAUUAAGAGUCCAUGGAACAUUUUUUCAUUAUUCUAAAGCUCAACCUUCCCUGAUUUCAUAUAUUGUCAAAGUGACGAUUAUUAACUAUGAAACAUACUGAGCACCUUCCAUGUGCUAGACACUGGAUUGAGAGAGGCAAAGUGUGCAUCCUCCUCAUGAAAUUUAUCUAAGUCACUAUACAGCCUAAAAUUUUUCAAAAAUUCCCCCUUGCAAAAUGUUUAAAGUUUAGGCUUCCUAACAUGACACAGAAAGCUCUUUAUGUCCUGACCUUUGCAUAUCUUCCUGGCUUUAUCUCUUGCCACUCUUUGCGUUGCACUUUCUGCUUUGGCAACAAACUGCUCAUAGUUCUGUCCCUUGAAUGAACCUCCACCUCUAUCUUUGUCUUGCUAUUUCAUCCCUCUAAGUGCUUCCUUGGUCUAUUCCAACUAUCUGGUACACCUUUGAACUUUUCUCCAUCUGACUGGCUCUUAUUCAUUUAUCAAGCUCCAGUCGAGGGAUCUCCUCUUCUCCAGGAAGACUUACCCAAAUCUUCUAAUUAAAUAAAUUACUCUUCUUCCGUUUACUUAUAUACUUGAGCAAUCUCUAGCUUAUCACACAUUAACAAAAUUGGAAUUACAUUUUCAUCAUAUUAAACUAUGAACUCCUAGAGGACAAAGGUUAUUUUAUAUAUGUUUAUAUCCAUGUGCAGAGCAGAAUAAGGUUGCUUAGCAUUUUGUAAACACGCAUAAAAUAUUUUUUAAAUUGAACUAAAAUAGGAAUAUACACAAAUCUCUCAUAAUCACUGAUAAUUCCUGUUUGAACCAAAGCUGAUUAGGGUUACUAUAUCUAGAAAUUGUGAUAUGUUAUUAUCUACUACAGCCUUGAUGUUAUUUGAUUAAUUGAAAAACAACCAUGAGGCAAUCACUUGUUGAAAAGACCCUUAUGUUCCAUCCAAUCCUUUUUUCCCUCUCCGUGUGUUUUUGAUUGUUUCAUGUGGGAAAGAUAUUCCAUUGCCUGUAUAUGUGUAUAAUUCCAUUCUUAUUACCUGUAGUGUGUUUCCUUGAUAGGCCAUUUCAAUAAUUUUUAUCCAGCUCAAAUCAUAAAACAUUGGAUAACUCAUUUGUGCCAGGCACUGAGGGUACAAAGAUGAAUAAGACUGUCUACUAUUUUCACUUGAUAAGACAGUAUGUUUAUUAAAUUAUAUAAUAGGAAUAGAUAUCAAGUAUAGUUAAAAGACAGUAAAUUAUAUAUGGCAGUCAUAACAGUUUUCAUGUGAAGUGGUUAAGAGAAAGAAGAGUAUUUCAAGUAAACAGCAUGUAUUCAAGGAUUGUCAUGUAGCUUGAUGCAGCUUCAGUAAAGAAGACAAAGAUAGAGGGAUGAAGAAUGGCAGUAUACAAAGGAGCCCGAAUGUCAAGCUAAGCAGUGUGGAUCUCAUCCUGAAAGCAAUAAGGAGUUUUUAGAACUUUAUAAAUAGAAAGGUGACCUAAUUAGAUCUGUAUUUUAAGAAAUCACUAUGAAUUCACAGUGAGCAAUGACCUGUAAAGGAUAAAAAAGCCAGUAAGGAAGCGAUUGUUUUGUUAAGUAAAGGAAAAAAUCUAUCUUGUAGAUCUGAUCUCAUUUGUUAUAGGUUGAUCUUGUAAUUUAUCAUCCAAACACAGGACACUUCUAAGAGUGGGAGGAGGAACUCUUAAUCAUAAUAAUAAAUAGUUAGACAUAUUAGUUAUAAACAGACAAUAUCCUGGGCAAAAGGAGAUAUUUGGUCACACUAAUUUGGAGAAGUAGGUACCUGUAAUCUAAGCUAUGUAUUCUGGAACUCUCUGUGGUCAACAGAUUUCAGUGCAUUAGAAGGUGAUGUGCUGCAGAUGUAUAGGUCAGUAUGUCAGGAAAAGAUUCCCAAGGUCAGGACUUGAAUUUCUCAGGAGUUUUUAACAAAAUGCCUGCCUGCCCGUGAAUACAAAAGGAGAAUGGGAAUUGCCCCCAACUGGGUACAGCCAAUUCCCACUACUUUAAAAUAACAUGUAGUAUAGCUAUAUAUAAGAAUACAUAAGCUCACACAGAGAAAAAGCAUGGAAAGAGUGUCAUCUAGAAAUGAUAGGUAUGUAAGAAUAUUAUAAACUUUAAGGCACUACACAGAAGUUUUAGUAAUGGAACAGUUAACUACCAUCCAUGGUGCUUAAUUCAUACCUACGUUACAACCUCAUCCAGCAGGGCUCAUUCUAGUACAAUUAAGUAAUGGUUGUGCACACACUGGGGUCUGUCUGGGGAUAGGGUAUGGGGAGGGAGAGUAUUAGAAAGGAUGGUUAAUGCAUGCUGGGCUUAAUACCUAGGUGAUGGGUUGAUAGGUGCAGUAAACCACUAUGGCACACAUUUACCUAUGUAACAAACCUGCACAUCCUGCACAUGUACCCCGUAACCAGAAAUAAUAAUUAAAAGAAAAAGAUUUGAGAGAAAAAAAUAAUAAUGGUUGUGAAAAUACUUUGAAAAUAUAAUCAUACCAAACAAAUGUGAGAUUGCACCAUUUUACUAUUAUUUUCUUAAAUGACUUUCCUUUAACUGUAUACCUUCCUAUUUUCUAUUCCCAUAUGUGUUAUUUAACUAGUCAAUAGUAUCUGGAGUUUAUUUUGAGGUUACUAUAUUAUAUCCUCCAUUAGUUUUGUUAUGAAAAAUAACUAUGCAAAAAUGGUCUGAUUAGUAAUUUCUCAUUUCAGUACAAUAAAGAGAUUAUUGUCAUCAACACAGCAGUGGCCUGUUCCAAUAAUUCAAGAAAUGGAAUAUUUGAUUUGCCAAUAAGUCCUGGAGAAGAACUGGAAGUCAUUGAUACCACCGAACAAAAUCUAGUGAUAUGUCGUAAUUCUAAAGGCAAAUAUGGAUAUGUGCUCAUUGAACAUCUAGAUUUCAAGCAUCAAAGUUGGUCACCUUAGAAAGAUCACGAUCAAAUGUUA